rnacentral:rRNA from 1 species
CGAACGGUGAUGACCAGCUUGCUGGUCUGAUCAGUGGCGAACGGGUGAGUAACACGUGAGCAACCUGCCCUUCACUCUGGGAUAACCACGGGAAACGGUGGCUAAUACCGGAUACGAGACGUACCUGCAUGGGUGGCGUCUGGAAAGAUUUAUCGGUGGAGGAUGGGCUCGCGGCCUAUCAGCUUGUUGGUGGGGUAAUGGCCUACCAAGGCGACGACGGGUAGCCGGCCUGAGAGGGCGACCGGCCACACUGGGACUGAGACACGGCCCAGACUCCUACGGGAGGCAGCAGUGGGGAAUAUUGCACAAUGGGCGCAAGCCUGAUGCAGCGACGCCGCGUGAGGGAUGACGGCCUUCGGGUUGUAAACCUCUUUCAGCAGGGAAGAAGCGAAAGUGACGGUACCUGCAGAAGAAGCGCCGGCUAACUACGUGCCAGCAGCCGCGGUAAUACGUAGGGCGCAAGCGUUGUCCGGAAUUAUUGGGCGUAAAGAGCUCGUAGGCGGUUUGUCGCGUCUGCUGUGAAAACCUGAGGCUCAACCUCGGGCUUGCAGUGGGUACGGGCAGACUAGAGUGCGGUAGGGGUGACUGGAAUUCCUGGUGUAGCGGUGGAAUGCGCAGAUAUCAGGAGGAACACCGAUGGCGAAGGCAGGUCACUGGGCCGCAACUGACGCUGAGGAGCGAAAGCAUGGGGAGCGAACAGGAUUAGAUACCCUGGUAGUCCAUGCCGUAAACGUUGGGCACUAGGUGUGGGGCUCAUUCCACGAGUUCCGUGCCGCAGCAAACGCAUUAAGUGCCCCGCCUGGGGAGUACGGCCGCAAGGCUAAAACUCAAAGAAAUUGACGGGGGCCCGCACAAGCGGCGGAGCAUGCGGAUUAAUUCGAUGCAACGCGAAGAACCUUACCAAGGCUUGACAUACACCGGAAACUUCC